AGAGUUUGAUCAUGGCUCAGGACGAACGCUGGCGGCGCGCCUAACACAUGCAAGUCGAACGAGAAAGUGGAGCAAUCCAUGAGUACAGUGGCGUACGGGUGAGUAACACGUGGGUGAUCUACCUCUUAGUGAGGAAUAACCCUGGGAAACCGGGGCUAAUACCGCAUAAGCCUGAGAAGGGAAAGCAGCAAUGCGCUGAGAGAGGAGCCCGCGGCCGAUUAGCUAGUUGGUGAGGUAAGAGCCCACCAAGGCAGAGAUCGGUAGCCGGCCUGAGAGGGCACACGGCCACACUGGCACUGAAACACGGGCCAGACUCCUACGGGAGGCAGCAGUGGGGAAUCUUGCACAAUGGGGGAAACCCUGAUGCAGCGACGCCGCGUGAGCGAUGAAGCCCUUCGGGGUGUAAAGCUCUUUCGUCAGGGAAGAUAGUGACGGUACCUGGAGAAGCAGCUGCGGCUAACUACGUGCCAGCAGCCGCGGUAAUACGUAGGCAGCAAGCGUUGUUCGGAGUUACUGGGCGUAAAGGGUGUGUAGGCGGUUCUUUAAGUUUGGUGUGAAAUCUCCCGGCUCAACCGGGAGGGUGCGCCGAAUACUGAGGGACUAGAGUGUGGGAGAGGAAAGUGGAAUUCCUGGUGUAGCGGUGAAAUGCGUAGAUAUCAGGAGGAACACCGGUGGUGUAGACGGCUUUCUGGACCAUAACUGACGCUGAGACACGAAAGCGUGGGUAGCAAACAGGAUUAGAUACCCUAGUAGUCC
rnacentral:rRNA from 1 species